rnacentral:pre_miRNA from 1 species
GAUCCUCUUUGUAUUCUUCCACAGCUUUCUUGAACUGCAUCUACUAUGAACUUGAUGAUUGUUGCAUGGCGGAUUCUUGUUUUUGUUUUGUUGCGGUUCAAUAAAGCUGUGGGAAGAUACUGAUAGGGUC